rnacentral:rRNA from 1 species
GACGUAGGUGGCGAACGUUAUCCAGAAUUAUUGGGCGUAAAGGGUGCGUAGGCGGCAUGAUAAGUUAUUGGCGGGGAAUCGAGGCUCAACCUCGUGGAAACUAAUAAUACUGUUUUGCUUGAGUACAGGAGAGGUUAACGGAACUCCAUGUGGAGCGGUAAAAUGUGUAGAUAUAUGGAAGAACAUCAAUAACGGCGAAGGCAGUUAACUAUUCUGUUACUGACGUUGAGGCACGAAAGCGUGGGGAGCAAAACGG